AUGCAAGUCGAGGGGCAGCAUCAUCAAAGCUUGCUUUGAUGGAUGGCGACCGGCGCACGGGUGAGUAACACGUAUCCAACCUGCCGACAACACUGGGAUAGCCUUUCGAAAGAAAGAUUAAUACCGGAUGGCAUAGUUUUUCCGCAUGGGAUAAUUAUUAAAGAAUUUCGGUUGUCGAUGGGGAUGCGUUCCAUUAGGCAGUUGGCGGGGUAACGGCCCACCAAACCAACGAUGGAUAGGGGUUCUGAGAGGAAGGUCCCCCACAUUGGAACUGAGACACGGUCCAAACUCCUACGGGAGGCAGCAGUGAGGAAUAUUGGUCAAUGGACGAGAGUCUGAACCAGCCAAGUAGCGUGAAGGAUGACUGCCCUAUGGGUUGUAAACUUCUUUUAUACGGGAAUAAAGUUAGCCACGUGUGGCUUUUUGUAUGUACCGUAUGAAUAAGGAUCGGCUAACUCCGUGCCAGCAGCCGCGGUAAUACGGAGGAUCCGAGCGUUAUCCGGAUUUAUUGGGUUUAAAGGGAGCGUAGGCGGGUUGUUAAGUCAGUUGUGAAAGUUUGCGGCUCAACCGUAAAAUUGCAGUUGAUACUGGCGACCUUGAGUGCAACAGAGGUAGGCGGAAUUCGUGGUGUAGCGGUGAAAUGCUUAGAUAUCACGAAGAACUCCGAUUGCGAAGGCAGCUUA
rnacentral:rRNA from 1 species